rfam:Gorilla gorilla gorilla genomic chromosome, chr18, whole genome shotgun sequence
UAUUAGGUUGGUGCCAAAGUAAUUGUGGUUUUUGUCAUUGAAAGUAAUAGUAAAAACCACAAUUACUUUGGCACCAACCUAAGA